ensembl:lncRNA
GGAAUCUCAUUAACAGAUGUUCCCAUGUUUUACUAUACAGAGUGAGCACGUCUCAACUCUGUGAUGACACAAGGCCUGUGCAUAUUAAAACUCCAUAGAUAUUUGCCAGAUAAGUCUGAAGCCCAGGAAAGCGAAGGAAUUUACUGAAGGCCGCCAUGCUGUCUGGCACUUGAGCUAGAACUCGGCCCCAAGCCCAACAAAUAAAGUCCACAAUCUUUAAGACAUCCACUAAGUUUUGCCCCUCCCCCUCAGCCUUGCUCUUCAGAAACCUGUUCCUUCAGUGAGAAAUCCCAACCAAGAGUUUCAAGGUACAUCUGUUGCCAGCCAGACCCUGAACUGGACAGUACUCAACGGAAGAAAGAGAUGAGAGUGUCC